rnacentral:rRNA from 1 species
AACGAACGCUGGCGGCAUGCCUAACACAUGCAAGUCGAACGAGACCUUCGGGUCUAGUGGCGCACGGGUGCGUAACGCGUGGGAACCUGCCCUUAGGUUCGGAAUAACUCCCCGAAAGGGGUGCUAAUACCGGAUAAUGUCUUCGGACCAAGGAUUUAUCGCCUUUGGAUGGGCCCGCGUUGGAUUAGCUAGUUGGUAGGGUAAAAGCCUACCAAGGCGACGAUCCAUAGCUGGUCAGAGAGGAUGAUCAGCCACACUGGGACUGAGACACGGCCCAGACUCCUACGGGAGGCAGCAGUGGGGAAUGUUGGACAGUGGGCGAAAGCCUGAACCAGCAAUGCCGCGUGAGUGAUGAAGGCCUUAGGGUUGUAAAGCUCUUUUAACCGGGAUGAUAAUGACAGUACCGGGAGAAUAAGCUCCGGCUAACUCCGUG